UAGGUGGCAAGCGUUGUCCGGAAUUACUGGGUGUAAAGGGCGCGCAGGCGGGACUGCAAGUUGGAUGUGAAAUACCGAGGCGCAACCCCGGAGCUGCAUCCAAAACUGUAGUUCUUGAGUGAAGUAGAGGUAGGCGGAAUUCCGAGUGUAGCGGUGAAAUGCGUAGAUAUUCGGAGGAACACCAGUGGCGAAGGCGGCCUACUGGGCUUUAACUGACGCUGAGGCUCGAAAGUGUGGGGAGCAAA
rnacentral:rRNA from 1 species